rnacentral:rRNA from 1 species
UACCAGCACCCCGAGUGGUCGGGACGAUUAUUGGGCCUAAAGCGUCCGUAGCCGGUUUUACAAGUCCUCCGUUAAAUCCAGCUGCUUAACAGAUGGGCUGCGGAGGAUACUAUAAGACUAGGAGGCAGGAGAGGCAAGCGGUACUCAGUGGGUAGGGGUAAAAUCCGUUGAUCCAAUGAAGACCACCAGUGGCGAAGGCGGCUUGCCAGAAUGCGCUCGACGGUGAGGGAUGAAAGCUGGGGGAGCAAACCGG